rnacentral:rRNA from 1 species
AAUAAACGCUGGCGGCGUGCCUAACACAUGCAAGUCGGGCGAGAAAGCUCCUUCGGGAGUUAGUAAAGCGGCGAACGGGUGAGCAACACGUGAGAAUCUACCCUUUAGUGAAGAAUACCCUCGAGAAAUCGAGGCUAAUACUGCAUACGUCCCUUCGGGGAGAAAGAUGGCCUCUUUGCUAUCGCUAAAGGAUGAGCUUGCGUACUAUUAGCUAGUUGGCGGGGUAAAGGCCCACCAAGGCAAUGAUGGUUAACCGGCCUGAGAGGGUGUACGGUCACACUGGAACUUAGACACGGUCCAGACUCCUACGGGAGGCAGCAGUGAGGAAUCUUGCGCAAUGGGCGAAAGCCUGACGCAGCGACGCCGCGUGGAGGAUGACGGUUUUCGGAUUGUAAACUCCUGUUAAGCGGGAAGAAAGCCUUGUUUCUAAUACAAGCAAGGUAUGACGGUACCGCUAGAGAAAGCACCGGCUAACUUCGUGCCAGCAGCCGCGGUAAGGUGCGCG